CAAGUCGAACGCAGUAGCAAUACUGAGUGGCUAACGGGUGAGUAUAAUGUGGGCCAUCUGCCUUUUGGUUUGGAAUAACACGGGGAAACUUGUGCUAAUACUGAAUAAGCCCUUACGGGGAAAGUUUUAACGCCGAAAGAUGAGCCUGCACUUGAUUAGCUAGUUGGUAAGGUAAAAGCUUACCAAGGCGACGAUCAAUAGCUGUUCUUAGAGGAAGACCAGCCACAUUGGGACUGAGACACGGCCCAGACUCCUACGGGAGGCAGCAGUGGGGAAUCUUGCACAAUGGGGGAAACCCUGAUGCAGCGAUGCCGCGUGAGUGAAGAAGGCCCUUGGGUUGUAAAACUCUUUCGUCGGGGAAGAAAAUGACUGUACCCGAAUAAGAAGGUCCGGCUAACUUCGUGCCAGCAGCCGCGGUAAUACGAAGGGACCUAGCGUAGUUCGGAAUUACUGGGCUUAAAGAGCUCGUAGGUGGUUAAAAAAGUUGAUGGUGAAAUCCCAAGGCUCAACCUUGGAACUGCCAUCAAAACUUUUUAGCUAGAGUGUGAUAGAGGUAAGUGGAAUUUCU
rnacentral:rRNA from 1 species